UAGGGAAUAUUGGACAAUGGGUGAGAGCCUGAUCCAGCCAUGCCGCGUGCAGGAAGAAGGCGUUAUGCGCUGUAAACUGCUUUUGCCAGGGGAUAAAAAGACCGUGCGCGGUUAAUUGAAGGUACCUGAUGAAUAAGCCACGGCUAACUACGUGCCAGCAGCCGCGGUAAUACGUAGGUGGCAAGCGUUGUCCGGAUUUAUUGGGUUUAAAGGGUGCGUAGGUGGCCCUGUAAGUCAGUGGUGAAAUAUCUCAGCUUAACUGAGAGGGUGCCAUUGAUACUGCAGGGCUUGAGUACAGAUGAGGUAGGCGGAAUUGACGGUGUAGCGGUGAAAUGCAUAGAUAUCGUCAAGAACACCGAUAGCGAAGGCAGCUUACCAAGCUGUAACUGACACUGAGGCACGAAAGUGUGGGGAUCAAACAGGAUUAGAUACCCCCGUAGUCCCUGAGCGGGCUGGCAAGGCGCAU
rnacentral:rRNA from 1 species